rfam:Spirochaetes bacterium RBG_13_51_14 RBG_13_scaffold_407, whole genome shotgun sequence.
GGGCCCAUAGCUCAGCCGGUUAGAGCAUCUGACUCAUAAUCAGGGGGUCAAAGGUUCGAAUCCUUUUGGGCCCA